GGGAGGGAGCCGUCGAAGGUGGGAUCGGCGAUUGGGACGAAGUCGUAACAAGGUAGCCGUACCGGAAGGUGCGGCUGGAUCACCUCCUUUCUAAGGAGCA
rnacentral:rRNA from 4 species